CACCAAAACCACCCCCCAACCGCCCAAGUUCAGUCAAACACUCUUAACUCACGUUGAUUUUCAGCCCACACACAACUCACACACACUAACACCUAAAACACACACACCAUUCACGCAUAUACCAUUUUUUAGCUUGAGCUCAAGCUUUUGAGCUCCGAUUUGAGCACCGAGAUGAACGCCGAUCAUCUUUUCGAUCACGUAUCUAAGUAGGUCCUUUUGGGAAGUAACGACUUGAGGGAGAGAGUGACGUUACUCAUUGAUACAGAGACACAACGAGGUUGAGCUGAUGUGAUGAUGGUGCUGCAAUGAGCGGAGUCUCCAGGGUUGUUAAUAAAUAGUUAACCUGUCUAGAAUAUGUCUUCAUACAUAUGUCUAGCUACUUUCCGCUGCAAGAUGUUGUUGAUGUUAUAGUAUGUUAUGUCAUACUUUGAGUCUUAAGAGAAUGGUUUCAUAUGAUGUAUAACUUGAUUAAUGAUAUUAAUUAAGUUUUAUGUUGUCUUUCA